AUUCCAGCUCCAAUAGCGUAUACUAAAGUUGUUGCAGUUAAAAAGCUCGUAGUUGAAUUUCUGGUCGUGGCGAUCGGUCCGCCCCUCACGGGGUGUGCACCUGGUCUCUACGUCCAUCCUCGGGGAGAGCGCGCCUGGCAUUCAGUUGUCGGGCGUGGGAUCCUCGUCAUUUACUGUGAGCAAAAUAGAGUGUUCAAAGCAGGCUUAGGCCGUUGAAUACAUUAGCAUGGAAUAAUAAGAUAGGACCUUGGUCUAUUUUGUUGGUUUGCAUUCCAAGGUAAUGAUUAAUAGGGAUAGUUGGGGGUGUCUGUAUUGUGUUGUCAGAGGUGAAAUUCUUAGAUUUACACAAGACAAACUACUGCGAAAGCACUCACCAAGGAUGUUUUCAUUA
rnacentral:rRNA from 1 species